UGGGGAAUCUUGGACAAUGGGGGCAACCCUGAUCCAGCCAUGCCGCGUGAGUGAUGAAGGCCUUAGGGUCGUAAAGCUCUUUCGCCUGUGAAGAUAAUGACGGUAGCAGGUAAAGAAACCCCGGCUAACUCCGUGCCAGCAGCCGCGGUAAUACGGAGGGGGUUAGCGUUGUUCGGAAUUACUGGGCGUAAAGCGCACGUAGGCGGACCAGAAAGUUGGGGGUGAAAUCCCGGGGGCUCAACCCCGGAACUGCCUCCAAAACUAUUGGUCUAGAGUUCGAGAGAGGUGAGUGGAAUUCCAAGUGUAGAGGUGAAAUUCGUAGAUAUUUGGAGGAACACCAGUGGCGAAGGCGGCUCACUGGCUCGAUACUGACGCUGAGGUGCGAAAGUGUGGGGAGCAAACAGGAUUAGAUACCCUGGGUAGUCCACACCGUAAAACGAUGAAUGCCAGUCGUCGGGUAGCAUGCUAUUCGGUGACACACCUAACGGAUUAAGCAUUCCG
rnacentral:rRNA from 1 species